GGGCUGGGAGCUAAGGUUCCCAAGCAGAGGAAACAUCAUUCACCUCUUUUAAUCUCAAUGUUUUGAAAGCAAAGCUCUAAGAAGGGCCCGAUUGACUGACAGGAUUUCCCCUGGCAUUUUAGAAGGGACAAGGGGGCUAUUCAUCCCCAGGCUAGUGUCUAUGAGUAAUUCCUCCAGCAUCGAUUUCUUCCCUGUGAAAACAAGAGCAAGGCCGUGGAGCAGGUGAAGAAUGCCUUUAAUAAGCUCCAAGAGAAAGGCAUCUACAAAGCCAUGAGUGAGUUUGACAUCUUCAUCAACUACAUAGAAGCCUACAUGACAAUGAAGAUACGAAACUGAGACAUCAGGGUGGCGACUCUAUAGACUCUAGGCCAUAAAUUAGAGGUCUCCAAAAUCGGAUCUGGGGCUCUGGGAUAGCUGACCCAGCCCCUUGAGAAACCUUAUUGUACCUCUCUCAUAGAAUAUUUAUUACCUCUGAUACCUCAACCCCCAUUUCUAUUUAUUUACUGAGCUUCUCUGUGAACGGUUUAGAAAGAAGCCCAAUAUUAUAAUUUUUUUUCAAUAUUUAUUAUUUUCACCUGUUUUUAAGCUGUUUCCAUAGGGUGACACACUAUGGUAUUUGAGUGUUUUAAGAUAAAUUAUAAGUUACAUAAGGGAGGAAAAAAAAUGUUCUUUGGGGAGCCAACAGAAGCUUCCAUUCCAAGCCUGACCACGCUUUCUAGCUGUUGAGCUGUUUUCCCUGACCUCCUUCUAAUUUAUCUUGUCUGUGGGCUUGGGGCUUCCCAACUGCUACAAAUACUCUUAGGAAGAGAAACCAGGGAGCCCCUUUGAUGAUUAAUUCACCUUCCAGUGUCUCGGAGGGAUUCCCCUAACCUCAUUCCCCAACCACUUCAUUCUUGAAAGCUGUGGCCAGCUUGUUAUUUAUAACAACCUAAAUUUGGUUCUAGGCCGGGCGUGGUGGCUCACACCUGUAAUCCCAGCACUUUGGGAGGCUGAGGCGGGUGGAUCACUUGAGGUCAGGAGUUCCUAACCAGCCUGGUCAACAUGGUGAAACCCCGUCUCUACUAAAAAUACAAAAAUUAGCCGGGCAUGGUGGCGCGCACCUGUAAUCCCAGCUACUUGGGAGGCUGAGGCAAGAGAAUUGCUUGAACCCAGGAGAUGGAAGUUGCAGUGAGCUGAUAUCAUGCCCCUGUACUCCAGCCUGGGUGACAGAGCAAGACUCUGUCUCAAAAAAUAAAAAUAAAAAUAAAUUUGGUUCUAAUAGAACUCAGUUUUAACUAGAAUUUAUUCAAUUCCUCUGGGAAUGUUACAUUGUUUGUCUGUCUUCAUAGCAGAUUUUAAUUUUGAAUAAAUAAAUGUAUCUUAUUCACAUCA
rnacentral:sRNA from 1 species